AAAAGCAAUGUUUACUUAAAUUGAUUGUUCAUACACUUUGGAAUAUUAAAAAUGGAGUUUUAAAAAUCAGUGCAUUAGCAGAGUUCUUAAGCAACUAUUCAUUCUUUUGUUAUUAUACUAUUAAUUCAAAACAUAUUCUGCAAAAAUGAUGGUAAGAGAGUACAAUCACUGUGAUUAAUUAAAGGCCGUUUUAAUAAUAUAACUAACUAUUUCCAUACUUUUUUACAGGUAUUGAUAAAAUGUGGUGACCAGCUGGGAGGAGUGGAGCAAUGGAUUGAAUCAGCAACAAGGAUCAUUGAGUAAUUAAUAGACAGGGCAAGGUAAGUACUCCGAGGUUAAAAUUGGCAGAGUUGCUUGAGCCAGUUAGCACAUUUGAAAUGUUGAGAACAUAUUUUGGCAACUGUCUUCAUUAGGAUGAGCAAUCACAAAGCACCCAUUCACUGUAAGAUAAGCUGGUAAGAUUGUGGCCUUAUCAUCCAUCUAAUAUCCCAAGACGCUUGCUUGAAUACAUGAGGACCAGAAACAUUCUUGGAAUAAAGACUGUGACGUUGCUUUGCAACUCCCAUUAAAAAAAAUUAGGAAGAAAAAAAGAUAAAUCAGAAGGGACAGGAGAGGGGAUUUUAUGUACAUUAACCAUAUUGCUAUCUUUAUUAAAAAUGUUUAAGUCCAUUUAUUACAAUACUUACUUCAAAAUUACUGUGGUAGCAUGGUUGAUGAUUCUUGUAUUGCUUCAAUCAAACUGGUGCUGUUUAGUGUCAGUAUAGGUAGCUAUUAGGGAUUUUGGAUCAUAGUGAUUGUCUGCCAGUUCAUGUUAAUAGAUUCUGGUUUUCAACUGAUGUGAUGUUUUUUCCAUGUAGAAUUGUAUACAGAUAUUUGCCACUAUUGCAAACUUACAUGGAAAUGCAAUGCUCAGACAUGCCUACAAGUGUAGCUUUCUUCAUUUGUGAAGAAAGCUACACUUUCUUCACAAAUGCCUCCGCAAACAAACAAAAAAGUAUAUGCUACCAAUCACCAAUGCCCACAACCGCCAUGAAAAAUACCAACGCAUCACCGAAGAACAAAAAAAGCAUAUGCCUCAACUGUUUUGGACAUGCCUCAACUGACAGACAUCUUAGAACACAUGAUCCACAGGAAUGCCAACAAAAUACAAACCAAUACAAAAAUGCAACUCACUACAGGAGAAACUCAAUACCAUCACCUCAAAACCACCAGACAACUCAGAAUUAGGGAUCAGAAAUCUAUCUAGCAGACCUCUAUCAGAUGAUGAAAAGACUGUCCUCACACACAGCCUCAACCACAAAGACACUGACCCCAUUGAAUUCUCAGCCAACCUCAAAUACAUUUUAAAAUCGAACUACCUGGACUAAGAAAUACAAUAAGACAUCAGGCAAAGAAUCAUCCUAACAAGCAAUGCAACAGAUAAAACAAACACUCAGGCAAAACACGAAGAGA